rnacentral:rRNA from 2 species
UGGAUCCAGACUUUGAUCAUGGCUCAGGACGAACGCUGGCGGCGUGCUCAACACAUGCAAGUCGGACGAGACGAUUGAAAGCUUGCUUUUGAAAGUCGAGUGGCAAACGGGUGAGCAACGCGUAGACAACCUGCCGUAAAGAUGGGGACAACAGUCCGAAAGGACUGCUAAUACCGAAUGUUGUGGAACUUCCGCAUGGGAGCUCUACUAAAGAUGGCCUCUACUUGUAAGCUAUCGCUUUACGAUGGGUCUGCGUCUGAUUAGCUAGUUGGUGGGGUAACGGCCUACCAAGGCGACGAUCAGUAGCCGGUCUGAGAGGAUGAACGGCCACAUUGGAACUGAGACACGGUCCAGACUCCUACGGGAGGCAGCAGUGGGGAAUCUUCCGCAAUGGGCGCAAGCCUGACGGAGCAACGCCGCGUGAGUGAAGAAGGGUUUCGACUCGUAAAGCUCUGUUGUCGGGGACGAAUGUGGAGGUUGUGAAUAACAGCUUCCAAUGACGGUACCUGACGAGGAAGCCACGGCUAACUACGUGCCAGCAGCCGCGGUAAUACGUAGGUGGCGAGCGUUGUCCGGAAUUAUUGGGCGUAAAGGGAGCGCAGGCGGGAGGUCAAGUCUAUCUUAAAAGUGCGGGGCUCAACCCCGUGAGGGGAUGGAAACUGGUCUUCUUGAGUGCAGGAGAGGAAAGCGGAAUUCCUAGUGUAGCGGUGAAAUGCGUAGAUAUUAGGAGGAACACCAGUGGCGAAGGCGGCUUUCUGGACUGUAACUGACGCUGAGGCUCGAAAGCGUGGGGAGCGAACAGGAUUAGGUACCCUGGUAGUCCACGCCGUAAACGAUGAAUGCUAGGUGUAGGAGGUAUCGGCCCCUCCUGUGCCGGAGUUAACGCAAUAAGCAUUCCGCCUGGGGAGUACGGCCGCAAGGCUGCAACUCAAAGGAAUUGACGGA